GUUCUUCACAGAUUGCGUGUGGCGUCGUUUCUAGUACGAAUUGCGUGUGAAUUAUGCGAUAGAAACAGCAAAUACGAACCCUUCGACACGGUAUAACUGUUGUUUCGAAUUUUCAACAGGCAUAUGAGCGAGCUCCAGAGCUGAAAGCUAUCGACUUUACGAGGGUGAAAAUCAUCGCGAUCGAAGCCAGUGAUGGCUUGGGGUCGACACUGAGAGGUGAUUUGGCCGAUGCUACAUUUUCGAAACAUCGAGCGAUCGAAAUAAACUGUAGCAAGAUUGAUCACGGUUAUCGAAUAUUUGAGUCUAGUCAUCUAAGGAAUUUGGAUACUGGAAAACAGAAUGCAGUAGCUGAGCGGGCCACAAUUUGUAAAUCGCGUAAAGGAACAGACCGCAUUUAACAGAGAUCCGGACGAUCGUGGACAUAUGCCACUGCAUUCAAUGUAUGAAGCAGCAAGCAAGAG